CACUAUCGUUAACUGAAUACAUAGGUUAACGAGGCGAACCGGGGGAACUGAAACAUCUAAGUACCCCGAGGAAAAGAAAUCAACCGAGAUUCCCCCAGUAGCGGCGAGCGAACGGGGAGCAGCCCAGAGUCUGAAUCAGCUUGUGUGUUAGUGGAACGGUCUGGAAAGUCCGACGGUACAGGGUGAUAGUCCCGUACACCAAAAUGCACAGGCUGUGAACUCGAAGAGUAGGGCGGGACACGUGGUAUCCUGUCUGAAUAUGGGGGGACCAUCCUCCAAGGCUAAAUACUCCUGACUGACCGAUAGUGAACCAGUACCGUGAGGGAAAGGCGAAAAGAACCCCGGCGAGGGGAGUGAAAAAGAACCUGAAACCGUGUACGUACAAGCAGUGGGAGCACCUUCGGGUGUGACUGCGUACCUUUUGUAUAAUGGGUCAGCGACUUAUAUUCUGUAGCAAGGUUAACCGUAUAGGGGAGCCGCAGGGAAACCGAGUCUUAACUGGGCGUUAAGUUGCAGGGUAUAGACCCGAAACCCGGUGAUCUAGCCAUGGGCAGGUUGAAGGUUGGGUAACACUAACUGGAGGACCGAACCGACUAAUGUUGAAAAAUUAGCGGAUGACUUGUGGCUGGGGGUGAAAGGCCAAUCAAACCGGGAGAUAGCUGGUUCUCCCCGAAAGCUAUUUAGGUAGCGCCUCGUGAACUCAUCUUCGGGGGUAGAGCACUGUUUCGGCUAGGGGGUCAUCCCGACUUACCAACCCGAUGCAAACUACGAAUACCGAAGAAUGUUAUCACGGGAGACACACGGCGGGUGCUAACGUCCGUCGUGAAGAGGGAAACAACCCAGACCGCCAGCUAAGGUCCCAAAGUCAUGGUUAAGUGGGAAACGAUGUGGGAAGGCACAGACAGCCAGGAUGUUGGCUUAGAAGCAGCCAUCAUUUAAAGAAAGCGUAAUAGCUCACUGGUCGAGUCGGCCUGCGCGGAAGAUGUAACGGGGCUAAACCAUGCACCGAAGCUGCGGCAGCGACACUAUGUGUUGUUGGGUAGGGGAGCGUUCUGUAAGCCUGCGAAGGUGACCUGUGAGGGUUGCUGGAGGUAUCAGAAGUGCGAAUGCUGACAUAAGUAACGAUAAAGCGGGUGAAAAGCCCGCUCGCCGGAAGACCAAGGGUUCCUGUCCAACGUUAAUCGGGGCAGGGUGAGUCGACCCCUAAGGCGAGGCCGAAAGGCGUAGUCGAUGGGAAACAGGUUAAUAUUCCUGUACUUGGUGUUACUGCGAAGGGGGGACGGAGAAGGCUAUGUUAGCCGGGCGACGGUUGUCCCGGUUUAAGCAUGUAGGCUGGUUGUCCAGGCAAAUCCGGAUAAUCAAGGCUGAGGUGUGAUGACGAGG
rnacentral:rRNA from 1 species